ensembl:lncRNA
AAAGUAAGGUUAUAGGACUUGUUGAUUCCAGGCCAAUAAAUUUAAAUUUAUUUUAAAUUUAUUUUGACAGAGAGAGAGAGAGAGAGAGAGAGAGCGCCCGCGCGCACAUGAGCAGGGAAGGGCAGAGAGAGAGAGGGGAGAGAGAGAAUCCCAAGCAGAGCCUGAAUCAGUCUCCAAUCAGUGCAGAGCAUGACAUGGGACUUGAACUCAUGAAUUGUGAGAUCAUGACCUGAGAUGAAACCAAGAGUCGGACACUUAACCAACUGAGCCACUCAGGUGCCCCUCCAGACCAGAAUUUUUAUGCCAAAGGAUUGAUGCUCGUAAUGGAACUCCCUCCCUCUCUACCUCUUCCCCUGCAUAUCUGACUGACUGGCCUCAGCCUGUGUAGGACCCUGCUGCUGCCAUAGAGGUAGUGGGUGUGCCCAGAAAAGUUCCAGAGGCUGGGCUCUGCCUUUUGCUCUGCUGGACACUCUGGAAGACCUGGGGCUGGCCAAGGGAGGAGCUGCCAAGUGGUCUGUGAUGGAAGGGACUCCAGUACUCAGUGUCUUGCUGUCUGCUGUGGUUUCUGGCAGGUAGUCCUAUCAUUGUCAAAUUCCAGUGAAGGAUUCCGCGUGGGAAUCAGGUGUAUAAAUGAAGGAUGGAAGAGAAUAAUAGCUACAGCCACAAGGUACUUUGCACCUCACCAUGAACCUUGGCUGCUCGGUGUGUGUCUGUACUCCAGAUGAGCUUCCUCUUCAAAGCAGCCUGUUCUGUGAACAUGAAGCUAUGCCCAGAUUAUAGUACAUGCCAUGAUUUAUCACAGCCUACCUUCAAGUGAUAUUCUACCACUUUAUGAAUAGUAUAAGGAUGUUACAAUAGUGUACUUCCAUUUCUCUCCUUCUGGUCGUUGUGCCAUUUUUAUCAUAAAUUUUACUUUAUUUAUUUAUUUUUAAUGUUUAUUCAUUUUGAGAGAGGGAGAGAGAGAGCACAAGCAAGGGAGGGGCAGAGAGAGAGGGAGACACAGAAUCCAAAGCAGGCUCCAGGCUCUGAGCUGUCAGCACAGAGCCUGACAUGGGGCUAGAACCCACAAACUGUGAGAUCAUGACCUGAACCUUGCAAUCAUGAACUGAGCCGAAGUCGGAUGCUUAACUGACUGAGCCACCCACGUGCCCCCAUAAAUUUUACUUUUGUGUAUGUUAUAAACCCUACAAUAUUUUUUAAUGUUUAUUUAUUUUUAAGAGAGAGAGAGCACCAGUAGGGGAGGGGCAGAGAGAGAGACAGACAGACAGACAGACAGAAUCUGAAGCAGGCUUCAGGCUCUGUCUGAAAUGAAGCUGUGAAUGCACAGCUCAAUGCGGGCUCGAACUCACAAGCUGUGAGAUUGUGACCUGAGCUGAGGUUGGGUGCCUAACUGACUGAGCCACCCAGGCGCCCCUACCCUACAAUAUCUUUUAAAUUGCUUUUCCUCAAAUAGCCAAUUAUCUUUUAAAGUAAUUUAAAUUUUUUUUUCAACGUUUAUUUAUUUUUGGGACAGAGAGAGACAGAGCAUGAACGGGGGAGGGGCAGAGAGAGAGGGAGACACAGAAUCGGAAACAGGCUCCAGGCUCCGAGCCAUCAGCCCAGAGCCUGACGCGGGGCUCGAAC